rnacentral:pre_miRNA from 1 species
GGAAAUUUGGAAACUAACGUUGGAUCGAGAAAUGGAUGUCCGAGAUUCGUCCACGUCAUCAUGAGUGAGUUAAAUUUUAACUCAUUAUGACGUGGACGAAUCUCGGACGUCCAUUUCUCGAUCUAACGGUAGUUUUCAAGUUUCC